AUUGAACGCUGGCGGCAGGCCUAACACAUGCAAGUCGAACGAGUGGCGGACGGGUGAGUAAUGUCUGGGAAACUGCCUGAUGGAGGGGGAUAACUACUGGAAACGGUAGCUAAUACCGCAUACCAUCAGAUGUGCCCAGAUGGGAUUAGCUUGUUGGUGGGGUAACGGCUCACCAGGGCGACGAUCCCUAGCUGGUCUGAGGGGAUGACCGGCAACACUGGAACUGGGACACGGUCAGGCCUCCAACGGAGGGAAGCAGUGGGGAGUAUUGCACAAUGAGCGCAGUCCUGCUGCAGCCAUGCCGCGUGUAUGAAGAAGGCCUUCGGGUUGUAAAGUACUUUCAGCGGGGAGGCGUUACCCGCAGAAGAAGCACCGGCUAACUCCGUGCCAGCAGCCGCGGUAAUAC
rnacentral:rRNA from 1 species